CAUAUUCUGCCAUUCUUCUGGACAUAAUUAAAAGUUGAAUAAAGACCUUUCCACUGCCAAAGGCAUAAUCAUCACACUUCAUCUGAUAAAACAUUUAGUAAGCACAGACUGUGUGCCAGAACUGUGCUGUAGCAAAAGCUUUGCACUGGUGGAAUUAGUCUACACUCAGAAAAUAUUUAUGAAACACCUGUGAUGGAUAUUGAAGAAAGCAGGGAGAAUGCAUAACCCAGUGAGUAGAAGCAGCCUGAGGUCCUCCUAGAAGCAGAUGCUGAAGCCGUGCUUCUUGUACAGCCUGCAGAACCGUUGAGAAAUGUCUCUCCGAAGAUCUCCCAGCCUCUUAUGACCACAGAGCAUGAGAAUAGAAAUGCUAAUGUGGCAUUAUGAGUGAGAGGUAAGGACUGUCCAGCCUUCUGUGGACAGGAGGCCUUUUGGGCUGAUUGAAAUGUGUGCAUACAGUAGAACGAAUGCCACCAACGGAUGUUCCCACAGUCGGCACUCAGAGAUGGCCCAGGCAUUGAACCCAGCUGCCAUGUUGUCCAGGCUAGACCAGUGAAUGACUAAAGCUUGUCUGAAAAGAGGCCUUGGAGAAAGGCCAUUCUUGCAGCUCCAGCCCCAGUCCAGUUGAAAUUGAAUGUAGCUACAUGAGUGACCUCAGUCAUAAUCAAUUAAAUCAAAUUUACUUGCAACUGAAGACUAGAAGAACCACCCAGAAGAGCCCACUCAACUCACAGAAUUAGAAGAAAAUAAAUGGCACAGCAGAACAUAGCAAUACAAAACAUCAAUAAGGCUCCAACACAACUAGAGAUGUCUUUUCGCCCCACGUGGAACAGUUGCAAUGGUUUUCAGGAUAUCUCCUGCGGCAGGUUCUUGGUUGUGUUUUCUACAAUAAUGGAAGUUAUACAAAUCUAUAUCUUUCCCUGGCAGAAAGGCCCUCAAAAUCUGUGAAGCAGAAAUUGCCCUGAUGUCAACUUCGAUGCAGCUACAAUUGUUCCUUUAAGAAUGAAGUUCAGAAAGAUGUACAAUUAUUAUGUGUCGCUUAUGAAUAGAAUUUAAAAAAUUUUAAAGAGUAAUAGAGCUCAGAGUAAUAUAGAACACUUAAUAAAUAUGCCAUGAUCAAAUGUAUU
rnacentral:lncRNA from 1 species